GAAGAGUUUGAUCAUGGCUCAGAUUGAACGCUGGCGGCAGGCCUAACACAUGCAAGUCGAACGGUAACAGGAAGCAGCUUGCUGCUUUGCUGACGAGUGGCGGACGGGUGAGUAAUGUCUGGGAAACUGCCUGAUGGAGGGGGAUAACUACUGGAAACGGUGGCUAAUACCGCAUAACGUCGCAAGACCAAAGAGGGGGACCUUCGGGCCUCUUGCCAUCAGAUGUGCCCAGAUGGGAUUAGCUUGUUGGUGAGGUAACGGCUCACCAAGGCGACGAUCCCUAGCUGGUCUGAGAGGAUGACCAGCCACACUGGAACUGAGACACGGUCCAGACUCCUACGGGAGGCAGCAGUGGGGAAUAUUGCACAAUGGGCGCAAGCCUGAUGCAGCCAUGCCGCGUGUAUGAAGAAGGCCUUCGGGUUGUAAAGUACUUUCAGCGGGGAGGAAGGUGUUGUGGUUAAUAACCGCAGCAAUUGACGUUACCCGCAGAAGAAGCACCGGCUAACUCCGUGCCAGCAGCCGCGGUAAUACGGAGGGUGCAAGCGUUAAUCGGAAUUACUGGGCGUAAAGCGCACGCAGGCGGUCUGUCAAGUCGGAUGUGAAAUCCCCGGGCUCAACCUGGGAACUGCAUUCGAAACUGGCAGGCUUGAGUCUUGUAGAGGGGGGUAGAAUUCCAGGUGUAGCGGUGAAAUGCGUAGAGAUCUGGAGGAAUACCGGUGGCGAAGGCGGCCCCCUGGACAAAGACUGACGCUCAGGUGCGAAAGCGUGGGGAGCAAACAGGAUUAGAUACCCUGGUAGUCCACGCCGUAAACGAUGUCUACUUGGAGGUUGUGCCCUUGAGGCGUGGCUUCCGGAGCUAACGCGUUAAGUAGACCGCCUGGGGAGUACGGCCGCAAGGUUAAAACUCAAAUGAAUUGACGGGGGCCCGCACAAGCGGUGGAGCAUGUGGUUUAAUUCGAUGCAACGCGAAGAACCUUACCUGGUCUUGACAUCCACAGAAGAAUCCAGAGAUGGAUUUGUGCCUUCGGGAACUGUGAGACAGGUGCUGCAUGGCUGUCGUCAGCUCGUGUUGUGAAAUGUUGGGUUAAGUCCCGCAACGAGCGCAACCCUUAUCCUUUGUUGCCAGCGGUUAGGCCGGGAACUCAAAGGAGACUGCCAGUGAUAAACUGGAGGAAGGUGGGGAUGACGUCAAGUCAUCAUGGCCCUUACGACCAGGGCUACACACGUGCUACAAUGGCGCAUACAAAGAGAAGCGACCUCGCGAGAGCAAGCGGACCUCAUAAAGUGCGUCGUAGUCCGGAUUGGAGUCUGCAACUCGACUCCAUGAAGUCGGAAUCGCUAGUAAUCGUGGAUCAGAAUGCCACGGUGAAUACGUUCCCGGGCCUUGUACACACCGCCCGUCACACCAUGGGAGUGGGUUGCAAAAGAAGUAGGUAGCUUAACCUUCGGGAGGGCGCUUACCACUUUGUGAUUCAUGACUGGGGUGAAGUCGUAACAAGGUAACCGUAGGGGAACCUGCGGUUGGA
rnacentral:rRNA from 2 species